GGUAAGCAUGAUGUGUUAACCUAGAGCUGCUAUCAUGAACUUUUCUCACGAGAAACCUAUAGCAAAAGAAUGAAAAAAAAAGCUUUUCCACAAUAAUCCCUUAUAGACAAGAGAGACGGGGUUUCGCGCUUGAGCAAACUGUGCAGUUUCAGACUGGCUUGCUUGACGGAUACAGGCACGUUGGAAAUGCUGGCUAUCAUUCUAUUGGCGAGAUUGACAAUCUUCACUUCCGCAGAAAAGGGAUUCCUUGUGUACCCAACAAUUCUGCAAGAGCGGACGACUGGUUCCAAUUACGUUCUCCAACUCAAUGACAAUAUCAUUCUUAAUUUGAAGAAGAGUGCUGUACUGGCAGACAAACUGUUGAUGGCUACUAGCCGUCACGAAGGCAGCCAGUUAGAAGAGAUUGAUACAUCAGCUCUUCAAGACAGUCUGUACCACGACGCACGUCACCAAUCUUCUGUGAUCAUGCGCAUGGAAGAUGGCACAGCGCAAGU
rnacentral:lncRNA from 1 species